UUACACAUGCAAGUCGAACGAUGAUCUCCAGCUUGCUGGGGGGAUUAGUGGCGAACGGGUGAGUAACACGUGAGUAACCUGCCCUUGACUCUGGGAUAAGCCUGGGAAACUGGGUCUAAUACCGGAUACGACCGUCCCGCGCAUGCGGUGGUGGUGGAAAGCUUUUGCGGUUUUGGAUGGACUCGCGGCCUAUCAGCUUGUUGGUGGGGUAAUGGCCUACCAAGGCGACGACGGGUAGCCGGCCUGAGAGGGUGACCGGCCACACUGGGACUGAGACACGGCCCAGACUCCUACGGGAGGCAGCAGUGGGGAAUAUUGCACAAUGGGCGAAAGCCUGAUGCAGCGACGCCGCGUGAGGGAUGACGGCCUUCGGGUUGUAAACCUCUUUCAGUAGGGAAGAAGCGAAAGUGACGGUACCUGCAGAAGAAGCGCCGGCUAACUACGUGCCAGCAGCCGCGGUAAUACGUAGGGCGCAAGCGUUAUCCGGAAUUAUUGGGCGUAAAGAGCUCGUAGGCGGUUUGUCGCGUCUGCUGUGAAAGACCGGGGCUCAACUCCGGUUCUGCAGUGGGUACGGGCAGACUAGAGUGAUGUAGGGGAGACUGGAAUUCCUGGUGUAGCGGUGAAAUGCGCAGAUAUCAGGAGGAACACCGAUGGCGAAGGCAGGUCUCUGGGCAUUAACUGACGCUGAGGAGCGAAAGCAUGGGGAGCGAACAGGAUUAGAUACCCUGGUAGUCCAUGCCGUAAACGUUGGGCACUAGGUGUGGGGGACAUUCCACGUUUUCCGCGCCGUAGCUAACGCAUUAAGUGCCCCGCCU
rnacentral:rRNA from 1 species